rnacentral:sRNA from 1 species
GAACAGAAACUUCCCAUGCUAGUCCUAUUAGUGCUAGAGCCUAUAAGAGGUUAAUGCCAAAUGUAGUUCAUUUUCUGUGUAAUUUUAGUUUAAUUUUCUUUCCGUCAAUUUAUACAUAUAUAUGUCUUUUCAAUGGCUUAGUGAGUCGAAAGUAGACUGUAUUCAGUUGUGUUUAAAAGAGAAAUUCAAAAUGAUUACUCUUGGGAAAGCAGAUUGAUUAGAUGGGCUAAAUCAAAUUGAGAAAUAUAAGGAAGUGAUGAAUUAGUUUUAAGUGAGAAUGAGUGUCUAUGUUUUUGUUUUGACACAAAUCUUGUUAGUGAUAUGACCCCCAGUCCUCAAUUUACUUGUGUUUUGUGUUUUUGAUUAAUUAUAUAAAUACAAAAAUGUACAUUCUUGAUGUCAAAGUCUGUAUUUUGUUAUAUAUCUCACACUAACAUCUGACUAAAGUCUUUAUUUAAAUAUCAUAUAAUUUUCUUUGGCUUGAAAGAGAAAAAAUGAAAACAUUAUUUCAAGUAUUAGUCAUUCUAGAUAAUUUCUUUUUCUGUCAGUAAAUAUAUUUAAUACAGCAAUUUUGCAUGGCUGCCCUGUCAUUUACAAGUACUGUUCAGAGUCAAUUAAACUGAAAAUAAGAAUACAGCCUUUUACAUGAAUGUAUUGUUUUAUCUAUAGAUGCAUGAUGAUGUUUUGUUUCUGAUAUACAGCAGAUAAUGUAGUUUCUGACUAAUUAGAGACUCUAGUUAAGGAUCAGUAUUUGGUAUUGUGAUGUAAACAGUAUUACUUGAAAUCCUUUUCCACUUCACUUGUCCUUAUGGUUGAUAACCUGUUAAUGUGUUUAAAAUCCUCUGUUAUAAAUUCAUAACCAGUGUACAAUUUCUUGAGAUAAAGUGAGUGGAAUUAAUUCAAUAGUGAUACAUGUAAAAUACAGUGGGUUUUUUUUCUUGUACAUAUAAUCAUUUGAAUGAUUAUUGUUGUUCCAAAGUCAUGCAUUUAAUGCAUAAAUGUUAAUGAACAUUUGUUGAUAACCAGUUCAUUUUUUUUAAAUAUACACUUGUUAAUUUUAUUGUUAAGGGUUAUUAAUGAUAUAGUUGAUCUACAGAUACUUACAUGUUGAGGUAAUCUUAAAUCAUUUAUUUCCUGUUAUUUUGUGCAAGGACAAUCUGGAGUGAUAAAUUUUUCAUAUAAUUCUGUAUACAGAGAUUGUUGGGGCAAGAAAAAUUGCAGAAUUCCAUUUGAGACUGUUAGGGUAAAUUUUUAUUGAAUGUUUUAUUUUUUUCAGAAUUCCAAAAAUGUGUGUACUUCCCUUGUUAAAUGUAUAAUCAAACUUCACACAUUGUAUGUUAUUUGUAUGUCGGUAGAGGUAGAAGUGUAAUAUUAACGUUAGCUGUAAGAAAGAAGAGAAGAACAUGUAUGCAUAUCAGAAACAAUUCUGAGUUUUUUUCUGAAUUGUUUUUUUUUUUUAUAUGUGAAGAUACGUACAUUGCCCAGUAUUUAAAAUUUUCUGUAAAUCCAGUAUUAUUUCAUUGCAUUCAAUUAAUAUCUGCAAGAUUCGAGAAUUGUUUAUGCCUGUUUCUAAGUUUCUAAAGAGAAUUGAAUAUCCACACUUGCUCGGAAAAAUUAAAUGUCGUGAAUUUCUUCUCAACCAAUCAUUUGGGGGAAAAAAUGAGAUAUAACUGGAUAAACUAUUUGGCUUACAGAGUAUUAAUAUCUGAACAUAUUUUAGGAGGUUUAUAAGUUUUUCUUGUAUGAAAUAUUCAUGCAGUUUAUAUACUAGCAGUAAGUACAAAUGUCAUGUAUAAGUAUUUUGGUUUAAAAUACACAAUAUAUUUUUGUAAACACCUAUAGGUUAACUUUGAUCUGUUUAUUUUAUGUUUAUACAUGUAAGGUAUUCUAUUAUUUGCUCAUCUAGGCAUAUUCCAAAGAGAAAGUAUGAUCUGAUGUUUUAUACAUAUCACACAAAAAAAUUUUUACAUGUAAAACUAUAAUUAUCUUAAUAUUAUAUUUUUCAGAAUUUUAAUCCCGUAUUAUUGAUUGCUCAUGUACAAGAAAUUCUGUUUUAAUGUUGUGCAUGUUCAAUUCCCUUCCCCACUAUAUAUACAUACAUGAAUUCUCUAAGGAUUUCCAGUAUUUAAUGGUAUAUCUGAAUCUUUGUUUAUCUCGCACAACAAGUCAGUUUACCUGACAUUCUAAUGGGCACCAGUAUAUAAGUUUGUAUUCCCUAUUGUAUGUUUACAGAAAUCUGAUUAUUGAAUGUAUAAUGUGUUAUGUAGUAAAAUCAAAUAUAUAUUUCAGC